rnacentral:lncRNA from 1 species
ACCUGACUGAGCAGCUGCCCAUGAAAUAUGGUAUUCACCACCUUUAAGACCUGUUUGGUGAGCUUCCUCUGGGAGAAGGGGAUGAGGAUCCGGCGUGUGGUGCCCUCAGACUCGAGUUCCUGCUGCACCUUGUGCAGCAGCUCGCAGAGAAAUUCCUGCGCGUCCUGUUGGUCGUAGCCGCGGAAGGCAGGGAUCAGGCUCCACACUGAGUGGAGCAUGGCGAAGGGCGACACUAGGGCCCACUUCCCGGACCACAUGACUCGGAAGAGGGAACAUUCUCGGAACUUCUGGAGGUGGCUGAGCACCUGGAGGAUGGAGUUCAUGUAGCAGGUGUUGCCCAGGUUG